CUUUUUAAUUUCAAAAAGUAAUCUAAUUUGCUCCAAUCUCAUCAUUCAUUCAUCACACACACAUAUAUAUACAGAUGGACGCAUCUAAGAAUAUUUUAAGUACUUUAUAUUUUUAGGAUCAGGAUGCUCUCUAUUUUAUUUUUCUAUUUUAAAUGAAAUGGAGAAUUUUCAUUCUUUUUAUUGUUAUCAUCUCUCUCUCCUGUUAUCAAGAUGUCUCAUUUCAAUUUUUAACACAUUUUAAAUCUAAACUAUGAAAUGAUGACUUUUUAAUUCAUUUGAAAUAGAGAGGAUCCAAAUUCAUAUAUUUUUGAUGCUUUUAUAUAUAUAUAUAUAUAUAUAUAUAUAUAUAUAUAUGAAAAUAUAUUCUGAUCAUAGAUCUGCCCCUAGCUAGCUACAACUUCACAUGCAUGCAGGUUUAUCGAUGGAUCGAUGUUUAAUUUAUAGGGGAAUUACUUGUUAUAGUGAGUACUAGUAGUGUUGCUAUCGACCGGCAGAAAGAUGGAACAAAGUAACUAACGAAGGAGGGUUUUCAUUAUGUUUUACACGUCAUAGGCAUUUUCUUUUUCUCAUAAAGAUAUUUGGAUGGAGGGAGGGAGGGAGGGAGGGAGGGAGGGAGCUAUUUUAGGUAAGAAAUGAGCAAAACAAGCUACAGCUGCAUGGACAAUUGAUCAUGAUGUCGAACCGGAUACUAACAUUCUCGAUCCAUUUUGUGACUACUGAUAGGAAUCAAGAAUAUGCGCCAGGGGUGUCUCUGAAAUUAAUCUGAAUACAUCAUAUCAUAUAAUGAUCUUAAUUUUGGACGGGAUUCUUCGAAUCAUAUGAUAUAUAUGAUAUUUUUAAUUUGUUUGGGCAUGGCAUAUAUGCACCCUUAAUUAAUCUAUGGCUGGUUUAAUCCAUUAAUUUUAGGUUAGUUAGCUACUCAUUACAUAAAAAUAUACUCGUAAUCUUGACAGUAAUAGGUAAUAUUAGGGCCCUAAAAGUCCUCGACCCGUUUAAGUCCUACCUAAGUGCUAGGUGAUGAUCUCAUUUGACUAGGCGCACAUCGAUCUAGGUCGAAUUAAUCUUUUACUGCACUGAUUUAAUGAAGGUUUUACAUUCUAAAUUCUAAAAUACUUGCUUGUAAUGAAUUUAUUGUGCCUUACAAGAUUUUUAUUUUAUUUUAUUAUUUUUAAAAAUACAGAAUAAGGUAAAAUUUAUCGUCUUUACAUCUACUAUAUAAUAAGUGAAAAAGUUAUUAUUUUUAUGGCAUGUUAACUUGGGUUUAAUUUUAUAUAUAAAAUGGAGAAGAGCUAGUGAUCGAGGUAUGGAGGGUUCCUACGUACGGGCGGAAAAAAGAUGGACGGUAGUGCUGCACAAAAUGUCAUAUAUGUGCUAGUCUGUACUUUAUGGUUUGGGAAGAAAUAUUGCUUAUUGUGCUCUAGCUCAUGGGUUUAAAUGUUUAAUUCUGCUAAAACUAUUAUGGAGUCUUUUUUGAGUUCACUGAUGCUUCAUGUUUGCAACAACAUAAUGGAAAAUUAUAGAAUUUCAAGGGCUUUCGUUCUUUCUUUGUUUUAUAUAUAGGUAUUUUUUUUUCUCACGGUGAUUUGUAAUCAAAUUGUGGCCCUAUCCGAAUCUUUUGGACUUGCCACUAUUGUAUUGCUUUGGGUAUUAAUAAAAACAUAUUUUGGUGAUAAAAAUAAAUUAAUAUAAGUAUGAACCCAGUAAAAGAUAAAUAACUAAUAUCUCGACGGCCAACUUAGAUCGCUCUUCGAGCAAUUUUUUAACACUAGACAAAAGAGAGUACUCCAUUACUUCUGAGAAUCUGAUAUCACUUAGGUUAGAACUCAUUAAUACUCUGUUCUAAAAUAAAUAUAUAUAUAUAUAUAUAUUUAUCUCGCCAAAUGUCAGUAUUGGUAUAUAUGGAUGGGCACGCAUGACGCAUGGUGUCACAAUCUUGUCUUAUUGUUCUGAUGGAAUUAGUAUAGUGUUGCUGUCACAGUUGUUGGUGUUGUAAUUGAUAUUGUGCAUGCUUUGAAAUCUUUCCUAUGGUAAUUUGGUAACAUGGAUAUAUGGCAAAUUAGAGAAAAGUUUUGUGGGGGUCGGCCUAGGUACGUAACACUACAUAUGGAAUCAAUAACUACUCCCUCUAAAAUGGUACCAAUUAUAUAUAUGGAAAAAGAAUCCAUUCUUUCAUAAACAUACAUUUAAUUUAGUUAACAUAGCCAAACAAACUCUAUAUAUAGAGCAUGGGUUCUAAAACUAUUCAAGCAAACAACACAAGCUUUAUAGUGUUUUGAUAUUGUAGCUAGCUAGCUAGCUCUCUAAUUAGCUAGCUUCAACAUUUUUCUUAUUAUAUAUAUAAUCUCAUAUUAUUAAAAUUAAUAUUAGUUUUCAUCAAUUAUAUAUAUAUUAUGAUGGACGGAAAGAAAUUGGAAUACAAAGGGGAGAAGGCAUUGAAGGAGCUUGAGAAGCUUACGGAAAAUGCCGAUGAAGUUCAAGAAAAUAUAUUGAAAGAGAUCUUAAAAAGAAAUGGGGAGACUGAGUAUUUAAGUAAGUACAUGUUGGGAUCAAAUGAUGUUCAAGAGUUUAAAAGGUGUGUGCCAGUUAUUACUUACAAGGGCAUCCGUCCUUAUAUUCAAAGGAUUGGCAAUGGGGAAGACUCUGCCCUUAUUACUGGUCACCCCAUAACUGAGAUGCUAUGCAGGUCCUUCUCGAUCUCUUUAAUUCUCUAUCUAUCUAUUUAUCAUAAUUAAUAUAUAGGCCACAUGAUUAUUUAAUUUAAUACCUUAAUAUCCUAAUAAGUUCCGUGAUAGUGAUAAGUACUCCGUAUAUGACAGAAGCAUAUUGCAUGCGUCAUGUUUCAUUUAAUAUUACUAUUUAUGAGAUCUCGAUCCGUCUUCUAAACAUAUAUAGUUAACUAAUUACUUCGUACGUACUUUACAUUUGCAGCUCGGGGACAUCUGCUGGAGAGCCGAAGCUGAUGCCAUCUAUUGCCGAAGAUCUUGAUCGUCGAACCUUUCUUUAUAAUCUCAUCAUGCCAAUUAUCAACCAGUUAUGAUCCAUUGUUUUUAAGUACCCAUUUUUUUUCUUUUUUUGUGUGUGGAAAUAUCACAUUAGAAAACGUACACAGUGAAAAAGAACAAGAUUUUGCACCAAGACCACUGAGAAAAUGUAACCUAGCUUAAUCUGGCGCCUUAGACUAACUCGAUCAUCGGCCAUCUCAACCUUUGUCGACUGAAAGCUGUGCCAAUAAAAUUCUCAAGCAACCAAUUACACAUGCCAAAUUAAACAACAUAAGAAAUUAGUGUUAGAAAAUUGUUAUUUUCAGAAUUUUUUUUAGUUUCACAAACGUAUCUUGCAUGAAUAUUAGACAUAUUCUAUGUUAAUCAAGCGAUCGACUAUAAUGGAACUAUAUACAAAAAGUAAUUAUGAAAUUAAUACAUACACUACAAAAAAAUCGGUCAUUGUCGACGGGCACUGCCGUCGCCUAUUAUUAGUUCCCUUAUUGUUAUACUAACGUGCAUAUAUAGUUGUUAAAACUUUUGGAAAAUCAUUAUAUAAUACUCACGAUCACCAUGUUGUAAUUAUGCUUAUACCUACUACUACUAGCAGGUAUAUCCCAGGUCUUGAUGAGGGUAAAGCCAUGUUUCUCUACUUUGUCAAGGCUGAAAUGUCAACCCCUUGCGGCCUACCUGCUCGGACCGUCCUAACCAGCUACUACAAGAGCAAGCACUUCAAGUUCCGGUCACGCGAUCCUUACACCGAUUUCACUAGCCCUGACCAAGCCAUCCUUUGCAAUGACAGCAACCAAAGCAUGUACUGCCAAUUGCUAGCCGGCCUAGUGCACCGCACCCAAGUCCUACGCCUCGGAGCCGUUUUUGCCUCAGCCUUACUCCGAGCCAUAUCUUUCCUUGAACGCAACUACAUUAACAUAUGCAAUGACAUCCGGACCGGCCAGUUGGGGCCCAACAUCACCGACCUUGAAUGCCGGUCCGCCAUGUCCUCGGUCCUCGUGUCGCCGGACCCACAUCUUGCUGACGAGAUCGAGGCCAUAUGUAGCCGGGCAUCAUGGAAGGGAAUAGUGUGUCACAUUUGGCCUAGGGCUAAGUACAUUGAGGCAGUUGUGACGGGGUCCAUGGCACAAUAUAUACCAGCACUAGACUAUUAUAGUGAAGGGAAGUUGCCAUUGGUUUGUACCAUGUAUGCAUCAUCUGAAUGUUACUUUGGUGUGAAUUUGAAGCCUUUGUAUGCCCCAGCUGAUGUAUCUUUCACUUUAUUGCCUAAUAUGGGUUACUUUGAGUUCAUACCUUUGGGAGCGAAUGGGACAUUAUUUUCGGACGUGGAUGAAGAUGAAGAGGUGCCACAAAAUAAGCUAGUGGACUUGGUGGAUGUUAGACUUGGUUGUUAUUAUGAAUUGGUGGUUACUACAUUUUCUGGUAUGUGUUUUCCUCUUCUUUAUAAUGCUAUCACUUCUCUUCUCAUCUUUCAAUUGAAUUUCAUAUCAUGUAUAAUAUAAUUAGAGGUAAGACUGUUUACAUUUAAUCUUUCAAAUAUCGGCUAUUUUGUGAAAAUCUUGCUUUUGAAGUUAUAUGCAUUAUUUGGUUUCUAUGACACAUAUUACAUGAUCACAACACCUCAUAUAUAUAUUAGCAUUGCUCAUUCUGAUUAGACAUGCAUGCACGUCAAUUGGAUCUGUUGCAUUUCUCUUCUAAACACACACACACACACACACACACACACACACAUAUAUAUAUAUAUAUAUAUAUAUAUAUAUAUAUAUAUAUAUAUAUAUAUAUAUAUAUUAUUCUGUUGAUAUUGGCUCCUCAAGCCUACAAACUAAAAGUAAUUAAUUAAUUAAGGACGAGGAGGCGGCCUAGGGAGAGGAAUUCCAUUGAGAAAAGAAUGAAACAAAGUGAGGGCUUGAGAGGGAGAGGUGAAGGGGNNNNNNNNNNNNNNNNNNNNNNNNNNNNNNNNNNNNNNNNNNNNNNNNNNNNNNNNNNNNNNNNNNNNNNNNNNNNNNNNNNNNNNNNNNNNNNNNNNNNAAAAAUACAUAUUUUUUUACUAAAUUGUCACGUACUAACUAAAAAUAUUCUCACACAAAAUGAUUACCUCCAUAUAUAAUCUUAUAAAAUAAAAAAAAUGUACAACUAGUUAUGUGCACAUUUUUUUGCUGGCUGAUUCAUAUAUCAGGAUUAUAUCGAUAUCGAAUUGGUGAUGUGCUCCAAGUGAGUGGAUUCCACAAUCGAGCCCCGCAAUUUCGGUUCAUCUGCAGGCGAAACGUCCUUCUCAGCAUCGACAACGACAAAACCAAUGAAGAAGACCUUCACAAGAGCAUCACGGUGGCCAAAAGACUCUUAGAACCCUACAAUGCUCUACUUGUGGAAUACAGUAGCUAUGCUGACACCUCAUCUGUCCCCGGUCACUAUGUUAUCUAUUGGGAGAUUAUUCAUUGCUCAUCAUCAUUGCUGCUAGAUAAUAACAAUAAUAUUAUGGAAAAUAAUAACAUGGUUACUAGCCAAUUAGUCGAUAUCUCCAAUGUUCUUCAAGAUUGCUGCAUCGCGGUGGAGGAGGAACUGGACUAUAAUUACAGGCGUUGUCGCGCUAAUGACAAGUCCAUCGGACCUCUUGAAAUCCGUGUGGUGAAUCCCGGGACUUUUGAAUCGUUGAUGGACAUGUUUAUCAACCAAGGGGGAUCCAUUAAUCAGUAUAAGACUCCAAGGUGCAUCAAGCCGUCUAAUGCUGCUGCACUUAAGCUGCUUAACUCUAAUGUCGAGGCUUGCUUCUUUAGCCCCAGGGAUCCUACGUGGAACCCUUGAGUCAUGUACUACUAGUUAAUUAACCCGUUAAUUUUGACUUGAUUAGUAGUGAGAGUUUUAAAGACUCUUUGAGUACUCUCUUCUAAUCAGCUUUUUAAUUAAGUUUAGCUAAGAUUAUUAGUAUAAUUAAGGACUCUUAUGUCAUCAAUGCUCAUCGAUCCUUGUUGUGGUAACAUCUUUGGCGGAGUUUAAAUAUAUGAUAUGGACCACUUUAAUUUAAGUAAAUUAAAUGCUUUGCCAUGUGAUGUGCUAAAACUUUCUGCUUUUGCUCCUAUUCUUUCUUUCCCCUCGUUAUUUUGUGCCUUGUGCUUAAAUUAAUAAUAUACACGACUUAAGACCGAGAUUUAGUGAAUUAAGCUUUUACACGAAUUAUAGAUCAAUAUAUUCAAUGGGUAUAUGGGAAGGUAUAUGUCAUAUGAUAACCAGCCAUCACACUAACUAAUUUAUCGUGCCGAUUAUUUGCAUGUUUGAGUACAAUAAUAAGUACCUAAAAACUGAUAUCCCAUCAAUAUUGAUACACAACACAACAGACAAUUUCAACAAAAAAUUUCACAUCAACACGCGGCGUCACUCGAAACUUGUGGGAAUUUCAAUAGGAUCAGGUGUUUGAAACUAAUCACGGUGCAUAUUCCCAAUUUCCCAUGUCUAGGCCAAAGCUCAACUCUAUUUCCAAUGUAUGAUUUCAUAGCAUCACAAAAAUACAUGUACAAGAAGAGUUGCACGUUUCAGAGAAAUUUUUUUCUCGAGAAUUACAAAAUAUUUAUGUCUCUUGGUAGUUCCCUCUGUUAAUGAUCAUAACAGAAUAAGCUUAGAAAAUGAAUCCUACUUUAAAUCAGAUCAUUAGAAAGGUGGAGCAAAGAGCUAGAUUCCACCUCUGAGGAACAAUACCAUAACUUUUAUGUUUGCAGCAGAGAGCUCAUCUUCUGAACCUCGUCAAAUUUGUUCUCUUGAUGUCCUGACUUGAACAUUUCUAUUGAGGUCGUGACUGUAUAUUUACUGCUCGAUCACACGCUUGGCACCUUCCAAGGUAUUUUUGAGUAACAUUGCAACCGUCAGCGGUCCCACUCCUCCAGGAACAGGAGUGAUCCAUCCAGCUACCUUGCAUGCUUCAUGAAAAUCAACAUCUCCCACAAGCUUAUAGCCUGACUUUCUACUUGGAUCAUCUACGGCAUUUGUCCCUACAUCAAUCACUGCAGCACCGGGUUUUAUCCAGCUCCCCUUUAUCUACAUUCAAGAUAGGCGAAUAAAUAGAUAGGUGAAUAAACCAGUCCAUUAUAUCGAAAACUGAAAUUAAGUUUAUUUUGCAAGCAAGUUUUGUUGGUCACAUUAAAAGUUUAAAACCAAGAAUUUUUUUUCCUAUAUUGAAGAUAUAUAAGCCCCUAAGCUUGAUAGUUAUAUAUAAGUCCCUUCAAGCAGGGCUCAUAAUAUUAAUAAUGAAAACUAGGACAGUUAUUCUUUGGGGACCUUGAAAGGGGCCAAUCACCUAUCUACAUAGGACAUACAAGUUGAUAAAAAUUCCAAGAGCUAGAUUUUCAUGGCACAGGCAAACAAAGUGAAAGCGACGAAGCUGUGUUGCACAUAAAACAAAGGAUAAUGAAAUAGUAAAAGGAAACCACUAAAAAACCACAAAUUGUUACUUGUUACCAUCAUCGCCUGUCCUGCUGCAGCAAUAACUAUGUCUGCUUCACGAAUGAUUCUCUCUGGAUCUUGAGUACGUGAGUGGACUACAGUAACUGUGGCGUCUGCCUUCAGAAGUAGGAGUGACACUGGUAAUCCAACUAUGUUGCUUCGACCCACCACUACUGCCUUCUUUCCCUUUAUGCUAAUACCACUUCGUGAUAGAAGUUCAAGACAUCCCUGUUGAGGAAACACUAGUUCAUAAGACUUAGAAAGGAACACCCAAGUUACAAACUAGAUGACAUAUGGCAAGACCCCCCACAUAAAGAUUUCUCCAACAAUAAAAGGAUUGUUGUUCGACAUAAUAGAUUGUAGAAUCAAAUAUUUGAAACAAGCAUAUUUCAUAUGUUUCAAUACUAGAUUUUUUUCUUCAUAAUUAGUAUGAGCGAAGACUAGGUAUAUUGCCUUGGGAGUGCAAGGAAGAUACAGAGGAUCUCUGCCUUUCAUAGCAAGCUUUCCAAUGUUCAGAGGAUGAAAGCCGUCUACAUCCUUCUCGAGGCUGAUUUCAGUUAGGAUUUUCUCUUCAUUUAUAUGUUUUGGCAAUGGAAGCUGGACUAGUAUACCUGCAACAACACAAAAAAUAUCUUCAAUAGUUUGCUUGGUUGCACAUAUGUUUCUUUGGGAUAAGCCAAAAAAAGAAUCUUUCAAAAACUAGUCCAUGCUUUCUGACAUCAUAAUGAAUUUCUUCACCAUGCAUAAACGGAAUAAUAUAAUAGACAUGAAGAGGACAUUCUCUGAGAGAGAAAAAAAUGACGAGCUUAAGUAUUUAAAAGGCCAAGAUGUUAGUUAUAGGAUACGAUAUGAAAAUAAGAAUUCAUAGGCAACUCUCAAGCAAAGGGGUUACUUAAGGUUCAAUAAGACUAUAAGAGCAAACAAACUGGAUUUCGUACAUAAAUAUCUUGAAUUUUUUUUCCAAUAACGAAUAUUUCUCGGUUUCUUUUAUUAGAAUCUAGUGAGCAUUAGUGAAAGGAUGCAAGUUAGAUAUAAAUGCCUUAAUAGAAAUUUCCUAAAUCUUCAUAUACAUAAAUGUUAUAUAUUUUUGAUGAUUUAAUAAUAUUUAAAAGGUUGACAGUAACAUUCAUGUGCAAUAAGAGUAAAUGGUUAGUAAAUUUUAUAAUGUGGCUCAAGAAUAUAUAUCUUAUUCUAGUGUAGGUCCAAAUAUUAUAUUGAAAGAUAGUUAAUAAUUAAAUGCUUCUCAAUUUCACCAAGCAGAUUGAUAUUAGUUCACAACAUAUGAGAUUACAAUCUAAAUUCAUAAUUAACUCGAUCGUCAAACAUUAGAAGAAAGUGUAACCAAAUAUGGAGUAUAUAAAAGGCCUGAUCAGAUGUUCUACUAACAAAAUCUUCAAUUUUUCAAUGUGCUGGAUCACAGGACUUAAGAUUUACAGAAGCAGCAACACAAUAAAUUACCCUAAUUAAUUUGAUUUCUCCAAUUUUAUUUCAAGAAAAAGGUUUUAAGAUAAAGAAUAGAAUAAUUUAUGAAAUGCAUUGCAUUGCAUUGCCUUUAUUUUCUAUAAACAUUUGACCAAAUAAGUAUCUAUACUGAAACAUGGGUAGAUAGAUGAUUACAGGAGGAUAAAUUUAGACGAAAAUAUAGCAUUGGACAUGAUAAUAAAUUUUCAUGUUACUUGGAAAUAUUCCACAGCUUCACAAGUGACAAGGAAAUUGACAAGCACUACAUAAUAUUGGCUUAUUAUAUUUUAAUGACAGUACCGUGUACAUCAGGAUUUGCAUUUAACUCAUGCACCUUGGCUAUCAAUUCGGCUUCAGCUACGUCCUCUGGAAGGUCUAUGUCAAAGGACUUAAUCCCAACUUCAGCACAUGCCUUCCUCUUCAUGCUCACAUAGCUUUGAGAAUCCUUCCUACUUCCUACAAUGACUACAGCCAAUCCUGGGACCUGAAUUAGAGAGACAAUUAUACCUUUUGAUUAGUGCACAAUAUUACCAUCUUAAAUUAAGAGCUCAUACUAAUAAAACUUCAAAUCUUAACUGCUGAUGAAAGCCAUUUCGACAUCCUGGUGCAAUGGCUCAUUUAUAUAUAUAAUAAUCACACAAUAAUGUUAGUUCAAAGAAAUUUAAGCCUUGGUGUUAAGAAAUCUCAGUGAUACAUAGCUACAAUCGAAUUUGUACUUUUAAGGUACUUGAGCACAGCAUAAUUGUCAGUCAGUCAGUCACAUUACUUGCCUAAAUUUUUUUAACGAAGACAACUGCUAAGUUACCACGAAUCAAGCCAACUCAAAUUACUGUCAAAUUUUCAUCUUCAUGUUAAUUCUCUUUUGUUGUAGUUUUAUUAAUAACUAAAGGAUUUUUAAUAUUCUUAAGCUUUUAAUUCCAAGUUUAUGUUGGCAUCAAACUGAGUACCUAACGAAUUAACAAUAAAUAGAAUGGAAAACACUGAAGAACAAAUUAGUACGAACGUAGCAACACAACAAACAACAUGACAUUCAGUAAAAUCUUUUGCUACAUAAAUAGAGAGGAAAAAAAUGAAGGAAAAGACCUUGGAGUAUUUUUCACAGAGAAGUCGAACUUCGGAGGCGAUUUCAGAUCGGAUUGUCUGUGCGAUUGCUUUACCGUCGAUGAUGGUUGCCUUCUGAUCCGAUGUGGCCGCCAUUUUUGAAGUAUGAAUCUGAUUAAUUAUUCUCCUAUAGCGCUCACCUUUUCCUUCGAAUUCAAAGAACUACCGAUGUGUGAUAAUUGGUGGCUAAGGCACAAAUUACAAGUUCACUUUCAGUGAUGACGAUGAUGAUGGUGAGUCACACUCAGUGGCGGGCCAAUUUGGAAAAUAUCAAAGAGUUAAGGAGUUCUGUAGGCCUACAACCUAUAGUUGGGCUUCUUUUCACAAAAUUGUGAAAUUAAGGCCCAAAAAAUAGGCUGUAACAGAUUCGGUUUUAGUAUCCUAUUUGUUGGGCCAAAGAAAUAAUAGAAAGUUAAAAAUGUAUAUACGCCAAUGAGAUAGUCCAUUACAACACGUCUAAUCAUAUUGACCUUAAUCUUGAUACAAAAGAAUUGCCCUAGGUUUGAGAAUAACAUGCGUGCAUAGUACUACUAUCAAAGAGGCAAAUCUUGACCCUGAUCUGUUUCAAUAUCUAUAAUUUAUUGGAUUAAAGUUCUAACUGAUUUAUGGGACAAUUACAUAUAUUAGUACAUUUUUGAAAAUAAUUACAAAAAUCAUACAAUUAUAAAAUAAUUACAAAAAUACUACACUUCAUCAUUUUUAUUUUCAAACCUAAUACAAUUAAAAGUCCUUAAAUUAAGGGAUUAGUAUUAAUGGGUUGAUAUAACAAAUUAGUUUUCUCUCUCUCCAUCCGCCCUUAUUAUUUCUCUCUCUUUUCUCUUACUACUUCUUUAUCUCCUCUCGAAGCAUCUCGUUGUCAUCUUCUUCCGUUGCCGUCGCCGCCGCAACAUCAGUCUCUCAACUCGUCGCCACCGCAACACCAGUCUCUCAACUUGUCGUCGUCUUCUUCUUCAUCUACUGGUAUUUCUUCAUCUACUGAUAUUUUUUCAUCUAAUAUUUCUUCAUCUACUGAUAUUUCUUCUUCUUUUUGUAUUGUUAUUUCUACUGGUAUUUCUUCUUUUUCUUCAUCUUCAUCNNNNNNNNNNNNNNNNNNNNNNNNNNNNNNNNNNNNNNNNNNNNNNNNNNNNNNNNNNNNNNNNNNNNNNNNNNNNNNNNNNNNNNNNNNNNNNNNNNNNNNNNNNNNNNNNNNNNNNNNNNNNNNNNNNNNNNNNNNNNNNNNNNNNNNNNNNNNNNNNNNNNNNNNNNNNNNNNNNNNNNNNNNNNNNNNNNNNNNNNNNNNNNNNNNNNNNNNNNNNNNNNNNNNNNNNNNNNNNNNNNNNNNNNNNNNNNNNNNNNNNNNNNNNNNNNNNNNNNNNNNNNNNNNNNNNNNNNNNNNNNNNNNNNNNNNNNNNNNNNNNNNNNNNNNNNNNNNNNNNNNNNNNNNNNNNNNNNNNNNNNNNNNNNNNNNNNNNNNNNNNNNNNNNNNNNNNNNNNNNNNNNNNNNNNNNNNNNNNNNNNNNNNNNNNNNNNNNNNNNNNNNNNNNNNNNNNNNNNNNNNNNNNNNNNNNNNNNCAUUAGUAUAUUUUUUGUUACUGUUAGCUUAUGAUUUAGAUACCAUUCUUUUUCCGUUAAUUGGGAUUUUGGUUACUUUUAUAUGUUAUUUUGGUUACAAUGUAUUUGCUUAGUAUACAUUGAUUGACUAAACUGAGUUUGAACUACAUGUUGUUUAGUAUACUAGACUAAUUUAUGGGGGCUUGAUGUAAUGCUUACGUUGUAGAUACGUCAAGAAAUAAAAAAUAGAUACUAUCAUAUAACUGUUUGGUUACUUCUGCAUUAUGUUUUGGUUACUGUUAACUUGAGAUUCGGAUACCAUGUUUGUUACCUUGAUUUGGUAUUUUGGUUACUUUUUUAUGUUGUUAUGGUUACCAUGUAUUUGCUUAGUAUACAUGGUUGACUAAACUGGUUUUGGUGUACAUGUUGUUUAUGUAUUGGUUACCAUUAAAACAUGUUUUGGUUACUAUCAUAUAAAUAUUUGGUUACUUCUUUAGUAUGUUUUUGGUUACUGUUAGUUUCUGAUUUGGAUUCCAUUUUUGUUUCCUUGAGUUGGGAUUUUGCUUACUGUUUUUUGUUGUUCUGGUUACCAUAUAUUUGCUUAAUAUAUGGGUUGACUAAACUUUGUUUGGUCUAUAUGUUGUUUAUGUAUUGGUUACCAUUAAUAUAUGUUUUGGUUACUAACAUAUAACUGUUUGGUUACUUCAUUAGUAUAUUUUUUGUUACUGUUAGCUUAUGAUUUGGAUACCAUUCUUUUUCCCUCAAUUGAGAUUUUGGUUACUUUUAUAUGUUGUUUUGGUUACAAUGUAUUUGUUUGGUAAACUGUUUAUGAUAUAAAUAUUGUUUAUAUCUGGUUACUAAUGACUGUGUAAAUCUGAUUUUUUUUAUUUGCAGUUAUGGAAUCUUUACUAUGGGGAAUGCAAUAGAAAAUUCAUUGGAAAAGUUAUAUAUUGGUGUGACAUGGAAGUCCCCGACAUUAUUACCAAGAAAUUGAACCCAAGACAGUUGAAGAAGUUUAAGGCAUCAUUAGUUUGUGGAUGUAUUAUUUUUGUAAAUAAUAAACCCAAGUCAUAAUAAACCAUGUAUUUGCUUAGUAUACAUUGAUGUAUUAUUUUUGUAAAUUCCUUCAAAUAUAUUCUACAAGGUUUAUGCUAUUCUAUUUCUACUUCCAUUUCCACAAACACAUCUUACAUGUUCUGGUUACUUUCAUAUAACUAUUUGGUUACUUCUUUAUUAUGUUUUGGUUACUGUUACCUUAUGGUUUGGCUACUAUUAUUGUGUCCUCAAUGUGGGAUUUCGGAUACUUUUAUUUUUUUUAUUCUGGUUAAUAUGUAAUUGUUUAGUAUACAUGGAUUGCCUAAACUGGGUUUCAUUACAUGAUGUUUCUGUUUUGGUUACCAUUAAAACCUGUUAUGGUUACUAUCAUAUAAUUAUAUGGUUACUGUUUUAUUAUGUUACAUUAUGGUUAUAGUAUACAUGGAUUGCUUAAACUGAGUUUCAUUACAUGAUGUUUCUGUUUUGGCUACCAUUAAAACAUGUUCUGGUUACUAUCAUAUAAUUAUAUGGUUACUGUUUUAUUAUGUUACAUUAUGGUUACUGUUAUUAGUAACCAGAUAGUUACAAGCUUGUAUCAGGACAAACAUUAAUUGUUAAAUGUACAUGUGUGAGUGUCCUAUUUAUCUACAAGCUUGUUAGUAACCAGAUAAUUAUCAUAGAUAGUUACUAGCUUGUUAGUAACCAGAUAAUUAUAAGCUUGUAUCAAGACUGUUAUAAGCUUGUAUCAAGACUGUUAUAAAGCUUGUAUAUGUUUACUUUAUAUUGAUAACUCAUGAUGGAAUCAAAAAUAAAAAUAUUAAUCAACAUCAAUUUUGGUUACUGUACACCAUCAAAAAUGUUACCAACCAUGUGGUUAAUGGUUACUAACAGUAAACAAUUAUAUAUUCCUGUAAACAAUUAGAUUUGUUGUAUUGGUUACUGUCAGUCUCCAUUGUCUAACAACUGAAUAAACAUUAUAAAGUAACCAAAUCAAUAUUAGACAGUAACCAAAUUACAUAAUAUUAGUAACCAGAAAAUAAACCAAAUUUUUACAUGCAAAUUUGAAGGCCUAAAUGAUGGAAUUCGACCAAAAAACCAUGCAGUUCACCAGCAAAGCUGGUGACUUUUGAUCGUUGACCCGUUUCCAAUGAAAUUAGGCUCUGAAAACGCCAAAAUCCGACACUCCAAACUUGACAGAAAAUUGCCAAAUUGUCACUGCAACCAAAUAAACAUUAUACUGUAACCAAUUAAAUAGUAUACAACAACCAAUAUUUAACAGUUGUAUGAAGGUAACCAAUGUAGUCAAUAAGUAACUACCAAUAUAAAAUAAACAAUUAUAAAACUCAAUAACAUUAUAGAGUAACCAAAUAAACACCUUUCAGUAUCUAAAUACAUAUUAUACAGUAACCAAGAUAUAUGUAAUUAGUAGCCAAGAUUAUAAAAAAUAUUUUUACAUUCAUUUUACAACCAAAAUAAUCAGUAAUGACUUUGUUACAAAUUAAAGACUAACAGGUGUAUAAAGGUAACCAAUGUAGUUAAUCAGUAACCAUCAAUAUAAAAAAAUCAGUAUAAAACACAGUAAUAUUAUGUAGUAACCAUGGUAAUAUUACACAGUAAACAAGUCAGCAUUAUAAACUAACCAAAUCCAGAUUAGACAGUAACCAACAUAUAUUUACUUAGUAUCCAUAACAUAAAACAUAUUUGACAGCAUUUUACAGCAAAAACAAAUAAUAUAAAAAAUAUCAAUAUGUACUUAAAGGUGUAUUUGUUACUAUUAGUCCAAACAUCAAAUUUGGUGUAUUGGUUACUAUUAGUCCAUGUAACCAAUACAAUGUAGUCAAUAAGUAACAUCCAAUAUAAAUGAAACAAUUACAAAAGAAUAUAACAUUAUAAUUUUACACAGUAACCAGGUCAGCACUAUUGAGUAACCAUUAUAAUUUUACAUAGUAACAGUCAGCAUUAGACAGUAACCAAUAUAAUGUAAAACAGUAUCCAGGUCAGUAUUAGUCAGUAACCAUUAUAAUUUUACACAGCAACCAACUCAGCAAUAUUCAGUAACCAUAUAAUGUUACACAGUAACCGAAUCAGCAUUAAUCAGUAACCAAAAACAACCAAUAAAAAUAAAGUUUUCCUUGUAUUUUAUAAUAAAAGUAACCAAGUCAGCAAUAUAAUCAGUAACCAAAUCCAUUUUAAAUUGUAACCAAAGUAACCAAGUCAACAUUCAAUCAAUAACCAAGUUAGCAUUAUAUUUUUACACAGUAACCAAGUCAGCAUUAGUCAGUAACCAUUAUAGUUUUACACAGUAAGCAAGUCAACAUUAGUCAGUAAUCAAAAUAAUGUUACAUAGUAAUCAUAUCAGCAUUAGUCAGUAACCAAUUCAACAUUAUUUAGUAAUUUUAUGCAGUAACCAAGGCAACAUUAGUCAGUAACUAAGAUAGUAAUAGACAUUUUAAUGUUUUACAGUAAUCAAAACAGAAUUGUCAGUAAACAAGACAGUAUUAGACAGUAACCAGUAUAAUGUUAAUCAGUAACCAAAUAAAAAUUAGUCAGUAACCAAGUUAUCAUUUUUCAAUAACCAACCAGCAUUGUUCAGUAACCGAUUCAGCAUUAAUUAGUAACCAAUAUAUUGUAACACAUAAUCCAAUAUAUUAUGCUAAAGUAACCAAUACAGCAUUAGACAGUAACCUAUUCAACAUUAGAGAGUAACCAACAGUUGCAUGAAGGUAACCAAAUUAUUUGAUGAGUAACAAUUAAUAUAAAAAAAUCAGUAGAACUCAUUUAAAAAUUAUAAAGCCAUUAAAAUAAAUAUUAUUUAGCAAACAAAUACACAAUAAACAGUAACCAAUUUAUAUCUAUUUAGUAACCAUAAUAGAAAACAUAUCAAUGAUUCAACAAAUCGUUAUAUGAAUUUGUAGUAAACAUUUUAAAUCGUGAAAAAACAGAUGAAACUAUAUGUAUACGAUUUUUAACCUCACAUACCUCAAUAUUCAGAUUUUUGUCGGAGUUGCUGCGAUUUUGUUUCUGAACUUCAACAAUGACGGUAGUUCGAUUGGUUUUGUUUACUGGAAUUGAAGUUGAUGUUUAUUUUGUAUGCUAUUUUUCGGUCUUAGCGUGCCGUCGCGACGAACAGUUUUGUCUUCUCCGAUCUCACUCGCGCAUGAAGUUGCUGUGAUCUUAGUUGUUGAUGAUGAUUUUGUAUUCUAUUUCGUCUUCUCCGAUCUUAGUUGUUGCUGUGAACUUGAAGUUGCUGUGAUCUUAGAUCUCACUCGCGCAUGAAGAAUUGGAUUUCUCCGAUUUCAAAAUAUGAAUGUUAUGUUCCACUCGCUUGAUUUUAGGAGCGGUUUGGGGAUGAAAGAGAAUGUAACCGACGUGUAUAUGGAAAAAAGAUCCGCAUAAUAUUAUGUUGGCGUUAUUUUUGUAAUUAUGUUGUUUGUGUUUUAUUUUUGUAAUUACUUUUUAUUUGUUGUAUACUUAUGUAAAGGACCCCUGAUUUAUUUGUUAAUUUGUGAUAAUUUAAUCUAUUGGAUCACUAUUUUAAAAUGUAUCAAAUCAUAAAUCUGAUUUGAUUUGGCCCACUGAUCCACCAAAACAAAAGGACAUAAUAACAAAAGAAGCAUGAAAAAGGAAAAGAGGUUGAGGGUCUUUGAAUUAAUAAAUCGAUUUCAAGAAAUUGUGUAUUCAAAAAGCAUUUUCUUAAAUGAUUAUUAUGUUACUAUUUAGUUUUCAUCAUUAAAGGGCUUUUUCGUUUUUUAUCUUCGGGUAACAAAAAGAGAAAUCAAAAACAUUCAUUAUUGGAGAAGCUAAAUUUUAUAUCUUCAGUUCUUGACCAUUAUAUAAAUGAGCUGACAGCCUGAGAUUGACAAAAAUUGUGUUUGACUUGUAACCAUCUUUUAAGUUUGAUUUGAUUUGAUUAUGCUCUACUUGAUUAAUAUUUUAUUAUAUAUAUUGUUAAUUAAUACAAUAAUUCAUUAAGUUUUAUUUAUCUGAAUUUAUUAAGCUCGAUUUAAAACAAAGUUGAAUCUGGUUUAAAACUUUACUCAAUUUAUUAACUUUUAAUUCAACGCCCAGUUCGAAACACAAAUAUAUUCCAUAAAUAAUGAAAUCCAACCCAUGUCUAGAAAACAAAAUUUCUUCUUUAUUAUAGAUCAUUUGUUGUAUUAUAUUACAUGAAAUUUUUAGUGAUUUUUGAACAUGAAAAAUUUAAAUAAAAAAAAAUAGAUUUACAGAGAUUAAGUUAAUGUAAUUCUAUAAAUAAUAAUAUUUUAUAAAUUAAUAUAAUGGUACAAAUUAUAACAUUUAUUUAUUUUUAAUCUGUAUUGUUGGAUUAUAUAUGAAGUAGAUUAAUAAUUCAUUACAUAAUAAUGAAUCAGAUCAUUGAUCUAUUAUCAUACUUGGUGGAUCAUAUUAGAUCAAAACAUGAUUUGCUCUGAACGCCUAUGCCGAUUGGUGUUAUGUUCCUUGAUCAGUUGCUGCUAGAUCAUAUUUUAACAUUUGGCUAAUGUAAGAUAUUGAGAAAUAAAUACACAAGUGAUAAAUGUAAGAUAAAAAGAGAAUAAAUUAUUUACGCACUGCCCGUAAAAUAUUAGUGUACAAUAUCUUAUCUAUCUUAUAAGAGCUCGGAGAAAUAAAAUUAAGCAACUUGAUUGCGGUAAUAGAUAGAUAGAUAGAUAGAUAUACUUCAAAUAUGUUAAAUACAAUAAGUUUCUUAUUUUCUUAAAUACUUGCAUAAUUGACUCAUGACUUUGACUUAUGUAUGUACUUCAGUUCUAGCUAGUAAUAACUGACCAAAGAGAGUGUGAAUCAAUUCAUUCAUUAAUUUUGUACAAAGGAAAUGAUCAAAGCCUAUGUGUGGCUCCAUGACCCCAAGAACAUUAUUCUUCUUAGUGGAUCCUCUACGCCGGACCUCCGGUUCCGUCUCUCAAUUUCCUUGGAAACUGAAAUAGUAUUCCCACGCCCAUUAACGGCGACCAUAACAGUGGUGUAGGCGUGCCGGAGCUUCUCGCCGAUGGUCAUCUUGGAUUCGUGAGUAUCACCGGAGAGGUGGUGUUGAGGUUUCAUCUCAACAAUUAACUGAAUUCUUGGUUGGGUUUAGUUUGGUAAGGACAUGAUAUUGAAGCUAUAGAGAAGGUUUAGGUUGAUUUUUAUAGACAGCGUCCACAACUACAAUGGAACAUGCGUGGGUCCACUUGGCCUAUUAAGAUUGGAUAUAUUCCUCAUGUUUGUGGAUGAC
rnacentral:lncRNA from 1 species